AUUGAACGCUGGCGGCAGGCCUAACACAUGCAAGUCGAACGAGCGGCGGGGGGGUGUGAAAUGUCUGGGAAACUGCCUGAUGGAGGGGGCUAACUACUGGAAACGCUGGCUAAUACCGCAACCCAGCAGAUGUGCCCAGAGUGGAUUAGCUAGUGGGUGGGUGAACGGCUCACCUAGGCGACGAUCCCUAGCUGGUCUGAGAGGAUGACCAGCCACACGGGAACUGAGACAGGGUCCAGACUCCGACGGGAGGCAGCAGUGGGGAAGAUUGCACAAUGGGCGGAAGCCUGAUGCAGCCAUGCCGCGUGUGUGAAGAAGGCCUUCGGGUUGUAAAGCACUGUCAGCGGGGAGGCGUUACCCGCAAAAGAAGCACCGGCUAACUCCGUGCCAGCAGCCGCGGUAAUAC
rnacentral:rRNA from 1 species